UCAAGGCUGACGAUUCAUUCCCGUUUCACACAGGAGGAAGUGGAGGCCGGAAGCCGGAAGUCGGCCCGAGGUUGUGUGACCCGGAAGAACUUCCGCCCGCUCUCCGACCCCACUGCCCGAGACGUCUGCCCGGAGACACUCGCCAUCCCUGAAAAAGCGGGAUAUCAUCUGCCGCAAAGGCCCAGGGUUUUCUCUUGUCACACGUCACUCCAGCCCGACGCAUUCGCAAAGGGCGACGCCCUUCAGGUUCACCGGGUUAGAUUCAAGACCUGCCUUCCUCCGUGGUGCUCUCCGUAACUGCCACAGAGUUUUCGUUUGACUUCUCAACAGACCCUGUGAAUGGGAAGACUGCCUGCUCCACCUUGCUGCACAGAUUACAAAAAGGAACUCCAGGCUUUGUUCCCAGUUCCUUGGAGAUGUAAACCUUAUCAUGUCUUUGUGGCGGUCUCAUCCAGGGAAUCAGCUAGGCAGUAUAUCAGCUGAGAUCAGAUUUGAAACACCAUGGAAAUUCUUUAGACCACCAAGGAAUUCCUCUCCUCAGAGGAUGCAUUUAGCUUAGGAGAUAAAUAUUUGUAAGAAUUAAUUUGAAUUAUUUGUAUUGUUUUUGACCGUUUAGGGAACCCAUGUGUAAUCCUUUUUACUGAAGAAAACCAAAAGAUUCCUCUCGAAAAUACCGAGAACUGUUGAGCUGAAGAAGGUGAAAAUGCUAGGGACAUUGCCCCGUCCUCGACUAGCCUGAUGGCGGGACAGCAGUGUACGAAGACAGAGCUUCCCCGCCUCCCUCCUCCUUUCCCACCUGAGGAGAGGCCCCUCACAACACCUGUUUAUCUGCUCAGCGACAGUGGCACCAGAGGCUCUAGGAGCAGAUUUUACUCUUCCCAUAAAUUCACUUCCCACAUUUUCCCCUUUUUGGAAGCCUGAAAAUGCUCUAUUCUUUAUUUAGUCACUAUACAGGGUUUGCCAUUCUUUGUGAAAAUACUAUGUGAGCACAGUCCCCAAGCAACUAACUGCCUCUCCCAGUUAGAGAGAGAAACUUUGAGGCCUCUCCCACACGGUGGGUACAGCACUCAUUAAUAACCCUCUGCUGUAUUUUCUUCUUAAUCAGACUUUUGUUUAUACGAAACUGUCAGAACUAAGAACACAUGGGGGAAAGAAAAGCAAUUAUAUUUUCUUCCCUGCACUCUCCCCAUGGACAGCUUUUUCCUGUUUUCCUGGCUGUUCCUUUUAACCUGGCCAUUGUGCUCAGACAGGCGGAAAGGAGCCAGCAGGAAAGGAGCCUCUGAGGACCCUGCACCAGAACAGUAGGAGGAGAAGGAGAGAGAGACAGAGGAAGAGAGAGAGAAACAGAGACAAGAGAGCUAGUCAGAGACUCAGGAGCUUAAUCUGGUGCCAGAUGUCUUUAAAACCAUCCAGGGAGGCCAUAUUAAUUUUUAUAAUUUCUCCUGGGCCAACUCAGGUUUCAACAGUUAAAGUGUGAUGGGGUCUGCAUUGGAACUCCGGCUCCACUCUUUCUCAACCACAGUUCCUCUCUAGGAAAUGAGGUCCCGACGCACCUGACCCUGUUUCUAGGGAUGUGGAUUUUCCCUCCGAGGCCCCUAAAU